rnacentral:rRNA from 1 species
UACAGAGGUCCCAAGCGUUGUUCGGAUUCAUUGGGCGUAAAGGGUGCGUAGGUGGCGCCGUAAGUCGGGUGUGAAAUUUCGGAGCUUAACUCCGAAACUGCAUUCGAUACUGCGGUGCUUGAGGACUGGAGAGGAGACUGGAAUUCCUGGUGUAGCGGUGAAAUGCGCAGAUAUCAGGAGGAACACCGGUGGCGAAGGCGGAUCUCUGGGCCUUACCUGACGCUGAGGAGCGAAAGCAUGGGGAGCAAACAGG